GACGAACCGUGCGAACGUUGUUCGGAUUCACUGGGCUUAAAGGGCGCGUAGGCGGCGGCUCAAGUCGGGGGUGAAAUCCUCUCGCUUAACAAGAGAAUUGCUUUCGAUACUGGGUCGCUGGAGGGAGAUAGGGGUGCGCGGAACUUCCGGUGGAGCGGUGAAAUGCGUAGAUAUCGGAAGGAACGCCGGUGGCGAAAGCGGCGCACUGGAUCUCUUCUGACGCUGAGGCGCGAAAGCCAGGGGAGCAAACGGG
rnacentral:rRNA from 1 species